AGCGAACGCUGGCGGCAGGCCUAACACAUGCAAGUCGAACGAACUCUUCGGAGUUAGUGGCGGACGGGUGAGUCACACGUGGGAACGUGCCCUUUGGUUCGGAAUAACUCAGGGAAACUUGUGCUAAUACCGAAUGGGCCCUUCGGGGGAAAGAUUUAUCGCCAUUAGAGCUGCCCGCGUCUGAUUAGCUAGUUGGUGAGGUAACGGCUCACCAAGGCGACGAUCAGUAGCUGGUCUGAGAGGAUGACCAGCCACACUGGGACUGAGACACGGCCCAGACUCCUACGGGAGGCAGCAGUGGGGAAUCUUGCGCAAUGGGCGAAAGCCUGACGCAGCCAUGCCGCGUGAAUGAUGAAGGUCUUAGGAUUGUAAAAUUCUUUCACCGGGGACGAUAAUGACGGUACCCGGAGAAGAAGCCCCGGCUAACUUCGUG
rnacentral:rRNA from 1 species